GAUGAACGCUGGCGGCGUGCCUAAUACAUGCAAGUCGAGCGAACAGACGAGGAGCUUGCUCCUCUGACGUUAGCGGCGGACGGGUGAGUAACACGUGGAUAACCUACCUAUAAGACUGGGAUAACUUCGGGAAACCGGAGCUAAUACCGGAUAAUAUAUUGAACCGCAUGGUUCAAUAGUGAAAGACGGUUUUGCUGUCACUUAUAGAUGGAUCCGCGCCGUAUUAGCUAGUUGGUAAGGUAACGGCUUACCAAGGCAACGAUGCGUAGCCGACCUGAGAGGGUGGUCGGCCACACUGGAACGGAGACACGGUCCAGACUCCUACGGGAGGCAGCAGUAGGGAAUCUUCCGCAAUGGGCGAAAGCCUGACGGAGCAACGCCGCGUGAGUGAUGAAGGUCUUCGGAUCGUAAAACUCUGUUAUUAGGGAAGAACAAAUGUGUAAGUAACUAUGCACGUCUUGACGGUACCUAAUCAGAAAGCCACGGCUAACUACGUG
rnacentral:rRNA from 1 species